rnacentral:sRNA from 7 species
CCUCUGCUUAUCCACAGGCUGAACACAGCUCAGACACGCGGCGUCUGAGCUCCCCACACUGCCGCGGCACUGAACUUAGGCUCAAACGGGAGGAAUCGCCUCUCUGCAAGAUGAGAGGGGAU